UGAGCAACCUGCCCUUGACUCUGGAAUAACAGCUGGAAACAGCUGCUAAUACCGGAUAUGACCUCCGAUGGCAUCAUCUGGAGGUGGAAAGCUCCGACGGUCAAGGAUGGGCUCGCGGCCUAUCAGCUUGUUGGUGGGUAAUGGCUCACCAAGGCGACGACGGGUAGCCGGCCUGAGAGGGUGACCGGCCACACUGGGACUGAGACACGGCCCAGAUCCUACGGG
rnacentral:rRNA from 1 species